UGGGCAACCUGCCCCUCUCUCUGGGAUAACCCCGGGGAAACCGGAGCUAAUACCGGAUACUCCGGCUGGAUCGCAUGGUCCGGCCGGGAAAGGUCCGCCGGAGAGGGAUGGGCCCGCGGCCUAUCAGCUUGUUGGUGAGGUAACGGCUCACCAAGGCAACGAUGCGUAGUCGAUCUGAGAGGGUGAUCGGCCACAUUGGAACUGAGACACGGUCCAGACUCCUACGGGAGGCA
rnacentral:rRNA from 1 species